rnacentral:rRNA from 1 species
UACGAAGGGGGCUAGCGUUGUUCGGAAUUACUGGGCGUAAAGCGCACGUAGGCGGAUCGAUCAGUCAGGGGUGAAAUCCCAGAGCUCAACUCUGGAACUGCCCUUGAUACUGUCGAUCUAGAGUAUGGAAGAGGUGAGUGGAAUUCCGAGUGUAGAGGUGAAAUUCGUAGAUAUUCGGAGGAACACCAGUGGCGAAGGCGGCUCACUGGUCCAUUACUGACGCUGAGGUGCGAAAGCGUGGGGAGCAAACAGG